rnacentral:rRNA from 1 species
UACGGAGGAUGCAAGCGUUAUCCGGAAUGAUUGGGCGUAAAGCGUCCGCAGGUGGCUAUGUAAGUCUGCUGUUAAAGCGUCUAGCUCAACUAGAUACAAGCAGUGGAAACUACAUAGCUAGAGUGCGUUCGGGGCAGAGGGAAUUCCUGGUGUAGCGGUGAAAUGCGUAGAUAUCAGGAAGAACACCGGUGGCGAAAGCGCUCUGCUAGGCCGCAACUGACACUGAGAGACGAAAGCUAGGGGAGCGAAUGGG